rnacentral:rRNA from 1 species
UACGUAGGGGGCUAGCGUUGUCCGGAAUCAUUGGGCGUAAAGCGCGUGUAGGCGGUCCGGUAAGUCCGCUGUGAAAGUCGGGGGCUCAACCCUCGAAUGCCGGUGGAUACUGUCGGGCUAGAGUGCGGAAGAGGCGAGUGGAAUUCCUGGUGUAGCGGUGAAAUGCGCAGAUAUCAGGAGGAACACCUAUUGCGAAGGCAGCUCGCUGGGACGUGACUGACGCGGAGACGCGAAAGCGUGGGGAGCAAACAGG